GAUGAAGAACGUAGCGAAAUGCGAUACGUAAUGUGAAUUGCAGAAUUCAGUGAAUCAUCGAGUCUUUGAACGCACAUUGCGCCCCCUGGUAUUCCGGGGGGCAUGCCUGUCCGAGCGUCAUUGCUGCCCUCAAGCACGGCUUGUGUGUUGGGCCUCCGUCCUCCUCCCGGGGGACGGGCCCGAAAGGCAGCGGCGGCACCGCGUCCGGUCCUCGAGCGUAUGGGGCUUCGUCACCCGCUCUUGUAGGCCCGGCCGGCGCUUGCCGACACAUCAAUCUUUUUUCCAGGUUGACCUCGGAUCAGGUAGGGAUACCCGCUGAACUUAAGCAUAUCAAUAAGGGAGGA
rnacentral:misc_RNA from 1 species